AGCCCGACCAAAAUCCCAGCCCCCCGUCGUCGUUGGAACAGCUUGACCAAAAUCCCACCCCCCCUCUCAUCGUCGUAGGUUUGGCGCUCCCCCUCGCACUUCCAAGGGAGGUAGAACUCCGAUUGACGGCACUUGUUGAGCGGUAUGAGGAGGUGGGCGCACUGGUCUCUGUAGGCGAGGGGGACCCUAGCCUCCACCAUGUCCGCCUGCGUCGCGAUCAUCUUCCUCGACGACCUUGGCACCUCCAUCUCCGAUCAUAUUUUCCUCUCUCUCUGGAACUCUCUCUAACCAGUAUCGCUCCUCUCUCUCUAACCAAGUUGACGAUCACCCACCAGAGGUUCAGUCCAGCCCCACCAAAACUUGUUAAACUUUGGGCGAGUUUCACAUGGCACCCCAGGAUUUAAUUUCUUAACAUUUACGCUCUUGUUUAGUGCACUGAUUUUAAGUGGAGGGUGUUCUUGCUAGAAGCUUUUCAUAGUGCCGAGUUUGUAUUUUUUGCGCUCGUGUUCUUUUUUUCCCGAUCUCAUCGACUAUUAUUUGGGGUGAUGAGUUUAUCUCAUCUGCUUAGGGUUAGCGUGUACGGUUUCUUCUCGCUUUGAAUCGUUGCUGGGUUGAGUUUGUUUCAGUUAUUAACCGAGUCGUGAAUAGUGUUUUGCGUAUUUUGUGUCUUCAAUAGUGUUUUGCCGGAUUUGGUUUCGUUGUGUGGCUUUUGCCGAUUAAACCCCUGACUUGGAGUUUUGUGUUGUUGGCUUGGGUUGAUCUCAUGAAUUGGAGUUUAUUUCUCAGUAGAUAAUCUUUAGCUGGGGGAAUAUCUUUUUUUAUAAACAUAUCGGCCAUAGCCGAAGUAGAUUGAAAUAUACUUGUCUCUUCAAAAUUCGUUGAAGAGUAUAUUAGCCUUUCAUUGUGGCCGAUCUAGAGACUGUUUUAUUUGAUGAUGAUCCUCAUGUACCAUACGCUGUGGGUUUCUUAGUAGUAAGGCCAAGAGAUGAUGUUGGUGCCAAGCUAGAUAAUAAAUAUUAUAAAUAUUUCAGUGAAGAUAUACCUAAUCAAAAAUUGUCUUUUAAAGAGCAGAGUGAACUAAUGUUGUCCUACUUUCUAAAUCGUUUAGCCGAUGUUACUAAAAAAUAGUGGAUUUGAACAGUUUAUUUCCAUAACUUAGGACGAUUCAAUGGAAUUUUAUUGAGGUGGCUAACUUCCUUGCCCCAGGGAGCUUCUUUGUUUAUGUCACUAAGUUGGCAGGUUUCUAGAGUGUGCUUCUAUCGCCCGAGCAAAAGAAGGACCGCAGAUGAGCUAUCAAGUCGUGCAUUUCUUCCGAAAGUGAGGACAAUGCCCUGGAUAUCCUCAUAGGUGUUGGGUUUACCAGGGUAUGGACUGUUCUGUGCAGGUUUUGUCUCAUUUAAAUUGUUCCUUAUGUCGUCCAAAUGUUCGUUUGAAAUUUGUCGUGUGUCAUUUUCGGGGUGAUAGUAUUUUGGGUACGCAUUACUGUUCUGUGCAGGUUCUGGCUCAUUCAAAUCGUUCCUUAUGUCGUCCGGUUGUUUGUGGCGUAAUUAUACAAGUAUGGUUUUCUGAUGGCUUUUUUAUGUGCUUUGAGGGUUUCCUCGGUUUUGGCCUUUUGGGGCAUAGUUAGUUUUCUCCAUUCUGGUUAGUGGAAUAAGCUAUUUGGCUAUUUCUCAUUCGUCUGUGUGAGAAACUUCUGUUCUAGCACUCAAUGACCGUUUUUGAAUUUUUUCCGUUGGUUUUGCGUCCUAUCGCAUGAAUUUUACCCGACGAUGGUUUUGCCUUUGCAUUUGAUGCUAUCUACCCACAGCCCAUUAAAUAGUUGCACUCAGCGAUGGUGACUGUGAUCUAUCGUUUAACAUUACCUUUGCAUUGAAUAUAGGUUCCACGCAUGAUUAAUUUUUUUAUCGCUUCCCACAUGUGGACCAUAGGACCAUAAACGAAUGAGAAUCCACAAGAACCGAGGGCAAGCAAGUAGUAUACUAUGGUUAGGUUUAUAAACAGUUUAUAGUAUAAUAUGGUUGGGUUUGAAAGCAAGCAAUUACAAAAAGUGCAGCCAUAGUUUACUUGUGCUUACUUCAAAGUUCAGGCGCAAAAGUAUACUUCUUGUUAUUUACAUAUGCAGAAUACAAAUCUACACACCUCAUUGCUACAAAUUUUAAGAUUGAAAAAGAAGACAAAACAUUUCUACUAAAUAAAAUCCAAAGAAACUGUAAGUCAUUACACUACAAUUGGACUCGACCCCAAUAGAAUACAUACAUUAUUCUUGACCUUCUUGAUACUUGGAAGUUGCAAUCAAACUUACGCUCUCUUCCUUGAAACAUGUCACACCUAAGCACCUUAGUCUUGUGUUGAAGCACCAAGAUAGCAUGCAUUUAACGUACAUAUCAACAGCAUAUUGUUGUAGAAGGCAACCUGAUUCGAGGAGGAUUGAGUUUGUGCUUUCUCUGAUCUGGAAUCGAUAUGCAUAGAAUUCUCAAGCAGAUACCAUGUAUGCCUUGUCAGCAUUCUCUGCGCACUGAAUAUACAAAGGUUUGUUAGUGUUUAUAUGCAUAGAAGAGAAAAGCUAAUCAUAGACGGAAUGUUUUGUUGGCAAAAUUAUAGGAAUUGUUUUUUACCUGCUGCUUCAUUGACAAGUUACUGUUCAGCUUUUGCUGAUUGCCUUGGCAAAAUCUUCCUCUGGCUUGGAGAAGGUUGCAAUGCACUGCCGGUCUUGGUUUUCUUAAUUCCUUGAUGCCAUCCGAGUUCACUGAGGUGGAAAAGCAAUGGAUAUUGCAGGGGAUCAUAGCAGCCAAAGUAAUAGCUAAUUCGUUUGCUACGACCAUUGUGUUAUUGCACGACUAUAUCACGUUCCCUCAGUUCUUCCACUUCUUCAUCUUCUAUCCACAUGACAGCAACCUGUGAAACAGUAGGUGGGAGAGCAGUUUGGUCUUGCACCUCAGGAUUUGCUCUUAGUCUUAUUUCAUAUUCAUCAGUAUUUGGUACUUGACUGACGCUCCGGAAGAACUGAGAGUAUGGAUUUGGCUUGAGCACAUCAAUUAAUUGUGCUAUAAUAUGUGACAGCAAUUUGUCCUUCUUGCCUCUUCUAUUGCUCACCUCAAACAUGGAUUGCUUCGUCUAAGCAAUAUCGAUUUUCAGGUCGAGUCAUUUCUAGGUUGAUCAUAAUUCCUUGUCUAAUUGUGCUGAUGGGCUUGUUGAUGCUUGUCAUUGGCUUGUUGAUGUUGAUGCUGUCAUGCUGUCAUGGGGCCUCUUCCAACAAUUAUUUCACUCAUCACAAUGAGGUGAUGCUGCUGGGACAUAGUGAUUCCUAUGUGAGAGAAGCAGAUGCAAGUCACUAUCGCAUACAACCAUUUUGGAGAGGGUCUUAGCCAGAGGAUGCCAAGGUAAUACAAAAUCUGACAUUUAAUGUCAAAUUAGAAGAUUUUCUCUCUUAAAUUUGUCUAUAGGCAAAUCUUUUGGCUUGUAUGAUUUGCUUUUGGAACUCUUGCACUCUCCCUUUUGUGUAAUUAACUUAACUAUAACUUAAAAGUAGAUGUAAAUAUAUGUAAACUGCUUCCACAUCAUAUUCCACUAUAAA